rnacentral:rRNA from 1 species
GAUGAACGCUGGCGGCGUGCCUAAUACAUGCAAGUCGAGCGAACGGACGAGAAGCUUGCUUCUCUGAUGUUAGCGGCGGACGGGUGAGUAACACGUGGAUAACCUACCUAUAAGACUGGGAUAACUUCGGGAAACCGGAGCUAAUACCGGAUGAUAUUUUGGACCGCAUGGUUCAAAGGUGAAAGACGGUCUUGCUGUCACUUAUAGAUGGAUCCGCGCUGCAUUAGCUAGUUGGUAAGGUAACGGCUUACCAAGGCAACGAUGCAUAGCCGACCUGAGAGGGUGAUCGGCCACACUGGAACUGAGACACGGUCCAGACUCCUACGGGAGGCAGCAGUAGGGAAUCUUCCGCAAUGGGCGAAAGCCUGACGGAGCAACGCCGCGUGAGUGAUGAAGGUCUUCGGAUCGUAAAACUCUGUUAUUAGGGAAGAACAUAUGUGUAAGUAACUGUGCACAUCUUGACGGUACCUAAUCAGAAAGCCACGGCUAACUACGUG